GACGAACGCUGGCGGCGUGCUUAACACAUGCAAGUCGAACGAAGAGCGAUGGAAGCUUGCUUCUAUCAAUCUUAGUGGCGCACGGGUGAGUAACGCGUAAUCAACCUGCCCUUCAGAGGGGGACAACAGUUGGAAACGACUGCUAAUACCGCAUACGAUCUAAACUCGGCAUCGAGGAUAGAUGAAAGGUGGCCUCUACAUGUAAGCUAUCACUGAAGGAGGGGAUUGCGUCUGAUUAGCUAGUUGGAGGGGUAGCGGCCCACCAAGGCGAUGAUCAGUAGCCGGUCUGAGAGGAUGAACGGCCACAUUGGGACUGAGACACGGCCCAGACUCCUACGGGAGGCAGCAGUGGGGAAUCUUCCGCAAUGGACGAAAGUCUGACGGAGCAACGCCGCGUGAGUGAUGACGGCCUUCGGGUUGUAAAGCUCUGUUAAUCGGGACGAAAGGCCUUCUUGCGAAUAGUGAGAAGGAUUGACGGUACCGGAAUAGAAAGCCACGGCUAACUACGUG
rnacentral:rRNA from 1 species